rnacentral:rRNA from 1 species
AUUGAACGCUGGCGGCAUGCCUUACACAUACAAGUCGAACGGCAGCACGGGAGCAAUCCUGGUGGCGAGUGGCGAACGGGUGAGUAAUAUAUCGGAACGUGCCCAGUCGUGGGGGAUAACGCAGCGAAAGCUGUGCUAAUACCGCAUACGAUCUAUGGAUGAAAGCGGGGGAUCGCAAGACCUCGCGCGAUUGGAGCGGCCGAUAUCAGAUUAGGUAGUUGGUGGGGUAAAGGCCCACCAAGCCGACGAUCUGUAGCUGGUCUGACGAGGACGACCAGCCACACUGGAACUGAGACACGGUCCAGACUCCUACGGGAGGCAGCAGUGGGGAAUUUUGGACAAUGGGCGCAAGCCUGAUCCAGCAAUGCCGCGUGCAGGAUGAAGG